CAUCUGUUUCCUGAAUCCUGUAGCUCUGAACCUUUCCCUUUGUCUUUGUCUUCAUCCCACCGACAUGUCCCAAGCAGCAGUCACCGUAAGAACCUGCACAAGGAAGGUCAAGGUCACACGGGACAAUUGAGAACCUUCGAUGAACCUAACAUGCAUGCGAGGAAGACAUGAGAACUUCACACAGGAAGGCCUCAGGAAUAAAAGACAGCGUUGGUUUAAGGAGGAAAAAAAAAAAGCUGUAUCUCCACUACAAACCAGAAUCAUUAGAGUCCUUAUGAUUUUUCUUCUCAGCUGCUGCAUGCAAUGCAUUUGUUUUUGAAUUUCGGAUGGAUGCAGUGCGCUGACUCCCAAACGGAGGAACGUACCUGGUGAAUUUUUUUCGCCGCUUCACUCAA